rnacentral:lncRNA from 13 species
UCUCUGGGUAACCCUUGGUCGAGAAUACUCUCCCUAAUGUGCCUGGGUUGCCAGAGAAGAGAGUAUUUAUCUGAGAAACUGCUUUGAUAGUAUCAGUAAUAUCACCAUUUUACAGACAAGGAGACAGAAGCUUAGAAAUGGUAAGUUUACCAAUGGGUCAUAAGAGGAAACCUGACUUGCCCAUAAGACCUGACCAUAAGAGGUCAAGUCUUCCACUUUGCCUAAGUGAAGCCAGGCUUCCCAAUUAAUAGCUCAGCACUCAGGGAGCCACACUGCAAUGAGUUACAGCACCAUCCAUCCAUGGCCUAGAACCAGCGCUUUGUUCCAACAACAUAGGUCUACGUUACCCAGUCCACACUCCCUCUCCCUCUUGCUGAUUUUCUUUUAUUUUAUUGUGUAGAUUCAAAUAUGUAAAAAAGUAUGAAAAAGUAUCUUUCAUCAGUUUAAUUAUCGGCUUCUUCUAAACCCGCGCUGUUUCCAAGCUGCAUAUCCAAUUUUGAAGUUCCUAUUCCAAAACCAGUGGGUAGGAAUGAAAUUACUUUACCUACGUGUAACUCAGAGGGAUCACUGAGUGAUUAUUUCGAGAAAAUGGAACAACUUGCUCCAAGGCCUUUGAAGGAGGAAGACCAUCACCAGCAGAGUGGGCUGCACCACCUGUGUUGUGUGGAUCAGCAUGAUGGAUGCGGAGGAGACCUGAAGAUGCUGCAAUGGCAGAUUUGCUCUACAGGGAGAUGCUGGGUGCCACCAGACAGAAAGACCCCACAAAGUGAUGCUAGAGGGGCAUGGCUGGAUGGGUGGGAUGAGAGAAGAACUGCAGGCUGGAGUGCUGUGGCAUGA